rnacentral:rRNA from 2 species
CACCGCGGUUAUACGAUAGGCCCAAGUUGACAGACCCCGGCGUAAAGCGUGGUUAGGGAAAACUCAAAACUAAAGCCGAAUAUCUUCAGGGCAGUUAUACGCUUCCGAAGACACGAAGCCCUUCCACGAAAGUGACUUUAUUACCCCCGACCCCACGAAAGCUAGGACA